rnacentral:rRNA from 1 species
GAUGAACGCUGGCGGCGUGCCUAAUACAUGCAAGUCGAGCGAACAGACGAGGAGCUUGCUCCUCUGACGUUAGCGGCGGACGUGUGAGUAACACGUGGAUAACCUUCCUAUAAGACUGGGAUAACUUCGGGAAACCGGAGCUAAUACCGGAUAAUAUAUUGAACCGCAUGGUUCAAUAGUGAAAGACGCUUUUGCUGUCACUUAUAGAUGGAUCCGCGCCGCAUUUGUUAGUUGGUAAGGUAACGGGUUACCACGGCAACGAUGCGUAGCCGACCUGAGAGGCUGGGAGGCCACACCGGAACGAGAGCACGGACCAGACUACUACGGGAGGCACCAGUAGGGGAUCUUCCGCAGAGGGAGAAAUCCUGACGGAUCAACGCCGCGGGAGUGAUGAAGGCCUUCGGAUCGUAAAACUUUGUUAGUAGGGAGGAACAAAUGUGUAAGUAACUAUGCACAACUUGACGGUACCUAAUGAGAAAGCCACGGCUAACUACGUG